UAAGUAUACUGGAAAGUGUACUUGGACACCAAAAUGUAGUUUAAUGAAAACUCUUCGCUUACACCGAAAAAACAUCUUUUAAUAUAGAUCAUUUUGAGCCUUAAACUUAGUUACCUAAACACAAUAUAAAAAUAACAUAAAACCUAAACAAAACAAAACAUUUAUACGACUUAGUAAAAGCGAUUAAAAUUCAAUUAGAAACUAUAAAUAAAGUACCGCAAGGGAAUAGUGAAAUAAAAUAUAAAACAAAGCACAAGAAAGUAGAGACACACCUCGUACCUUUUGCAUCAUGGUCUAACUAGAAAAAACAAGCAAAACGUUAUUAAAGUUUGUACCCCCGAAACUAAGUGAGCUACUUUAAAAUAGCUAUAGAGCCAACUCGUCUCUGUUGCAAAAGAGUGAGAAAAUUUUUAAGUAGAGGCGAUAAACCUAACGAACUUAGAGAUAGCUGGUUACUUGAGAAAAGAAUAUAAGUUCUGCCUUAAAAUUAAUAGUGCAUAAAACCACUUUUUAAGAGUUAUUCAAAUAGGGUACAGCCUAUUUGAAACAGGAAACAACCUAAAAGACCGGGUAAUAAAUUUAACAGUGUAGAAGUAGGCCUGAGAGCAGCCAUCUUUUAAAAAGCGUCAAAGCUUAAAUACUGCUUAAUAAAAAUUUUUAAUCAACAAUCAACCCCCCCCCCCGCUAUCAAGCAAUUUUAUAAAAGUAUAAAAAAUAUUAUGUUAGAAUUAGUAAUAAGAAAUCGCCUUUCUCCAAAAUAUAAGUGUAAUGCAGAAAUAAACCAAUAACUGCUAAUUAUUGUACAUAAAGAUUAUGUAGUAACUUAACAAGAAAACCCUACCACAACAAACAUUAACCUAACACAAGCAUAUUACUGGAAAGAUUAAAAAUAGAGGAAGGAACUCGGCAAAUAUAAACCCCGCCUGUUUACCAAAAACAUCGCCUCUUGUUAAAUUAUAAGAGGUCUCGCCUGCCCCGUGAUUUAUUUUAACGGCCGCGGUAUCUUAACCGUGCAAAGGUAGCAUAAUCAAUUGUCCCCUAAAUCGGGACUAGUAUGAACGGCACCACGAGGGUUUAACUGUCUCCCCCUUUUAAUCAAUAAAAUUAAUCUUCCCGUGAAGAACCGGGAAUACAACUAUAAGACGAGAAGACCCCGUGGAGCUUUAAACUUAUUGCCACUUAUUUAUUAAUAUAGCACCCUAUCAGAUAAAAAUGUCUCAUAGUUUUUGGUUGGGGCGACCCUGGAGAAAAGCAAAUCCUCCAGAUCGAAAGGUUUAACUACCCUUAUAUAAGAACCACAAUUCAAAUAAACAAAAAUUUGACAAAACUGACCCAGAAUUAACUGAUCAGUGAACCAAGUUACCCCGGGGAUAACAGCGCAAUCCAUUUCAAGAGCCCAUAUCGACAAAUGGGUUUACGACCUCGAUGUUGGAUCAGGGGAUCCUAGCAGCGCAGCCGUUGCUAAUGGUUCGUUUGUUCAACGAUUAAUGCCCU
rnacentral:rRNA from 1 species